UUGACAGUGAUGAGAUGCUCUCUACCAGAAGCAUCUUCGGCUUUUAACUUGAUGGUACUAAAGCAAGUAUCCACAUACACAAGCCUGAGCCCACAUGCCGCAACUACUGAGUCCACGCGCUCUGGAGCCCGCGCGCUACAACUAGAGAGAAGCCCACACAACGAAAGAUCCAGCGUGCUGCAGGUGAUCCCCUAUCAACCUGUGGACAGCCUGCUCUUUACAGAACUAUAAUCUCUUAUCUGCAAUUAUAAAAUCUAAAAAUCUCUGAAAAACAAAAGCCUUUUGUGUUUGGUGCAAAUCCAUUUGAGGACAAGUCCUGACCUAGGAAGUUCUCUGCAGAAAUAGUACUGUGUUUGUUGAUUAUGGGCGUGCUUCCCCAAACAACAUUAGGGGGUUGGCAUGAUUUAUGGCAUAUGUAUAAUGCUGCUUUUUCUAGAAUCUGAGGAAUAUUUUGAAAUACAUCUUGCCCUGGAGUGGGGUGAUCCUGAUUGGCCUGGGACUAAAGGGCUUCCUGGGAUGCAUGACUUUCAGUGCUAACACCAGAUGAACCCUGGGCACACAGGGACAUUUGAUUCUCAGGCCUUAGCACAAUAUUGAGUGUAUAUAAGAUAUUCAAAACAUGCUUGUUGAGUGAAUGAACAAAUGAAGGAACGAACAAAUGAAUGAAUAAACUGCCUUUAGAUAUUCUCUGUUCAGUAUAAAAAGUCUGAAAAUAUUCCAUGUAAAUGAAAAAUUCACCAAAGUCAAUUUAGACUGCUCCCUACCAGAAAUGAUGCCAUUAACGUGUUAAUUUUAAAUGUUCUAACAUAUCCCUUUUAAUUAAUUCUUUUAAUUUUCUCAGCUAUUCAUUUAGCUAAAACCAAAAACACACAACCCAAGGUGAAUCAAAAGUCCUUGCUGGUGGAGGCUGAAAAUCACUCAUAUUUACUUUGAUACUCACAGUAACUCUAACACCUAAAUGGAGAUGUUUGGAUAUGAAAAUAAAUUUGUUGAAAAGAAUUUUUUUUUGGUCUGGGGUAAAUA